rnacentral:lncRNA from 1 species
GGAUAGAGAGGAGAGGGGAGGAGGGCGUGGAGAUAGGGAGAGGGCUCUAGAUCUGAAUUCUCAAUUCAUCUAAACCCUAAGAGAAGAGCAUCUUAAAUAGAGCCAUUCUUGGAGUUCAAACCAAAUUCCAAUUAGGGUUAAAAGGCAAGUCCUUAUCACAUAAGGACUCUUUCCUCCCACGAUGAUUUUUUUUCCAAGAAAACUAAACCCAAAUGAAAAGGGAUCACACCCA